AUCACUGUAACCGGCAACCGGAAAAAGUUUUUGUUUUGCCCAAUGUCUAUCUAAGUAAAUUGCUUGCUUUAAUAAUUUAUAUAUUUGUUAUGAUUAGAUCAUCUAAAACUAGUAAACAGAGGAAAAACUUAGCUGGAACAGAAGUUUCAGAAGAAGCUAUGCUGUCAGAAGCCUCAAAUGCUCAGCAGUUGAAAAAAU